ensembl:lincRNA
GCAGAACGCGCGGUUUGUGCGUGAGUCCGUGUGACUGUGUAUUUGCGCGCGUGCUUGUGACUGUCCCUUGGGGCAUCAUCUCAAUGUUUCACACCUACAGAAGUGGACUGAACACCAUCUUCCUCAGCAUCGGCUCUCCUGGCUAUUCCACUGGCCAUCCAUUUCACCCUCCAGCCAACUGCUCCUCUUGUGAUACCCACCCCACCAGUAGCAGGUCCCAUCAUGGCAAUCUGCCACUGGAGUCUGGAGGGCGGGUUGCUUUGGUGGUUUUCCUGGAGACAGGAUGCUAUAUGAUGAAGAGCUAGAAAUGCAUUACUUUGGGUUUCAGCUCUGCCCACUGACCAGCAGAGACCCCAAACAUGUCUUCCACUCUCUGCAGGUGGUCAUUAGGCUCACAGUGCUUGUGGCUGAGGUGGCUUCAGGAGAGGGAGGGCAGGGAGCAAAUGAAAAAGGGGGGUAAGAAGAAAUCAUCUGAGAUGGAUGACAGACAGCCAGAUGGACGGGUGCUUAGCAGGGGGCUGCCUUUCUCCUGGAACACGCCUGGCACUGCCUGCCCAGUCCAGCUCUUCAGAUCCCCAUCUUCCCCCAGCUGUGGUCACUUUAACACUGGUGGGAUGUCUGGUUUUAAUGUGAGGAGCACCUCGAAAUAGGAGCAGGUUUGGUUUCCACAAUGGAGCACAGGUUUCUGCUGGAGUUAUCCAAAUCCCAGGGGAUCAUCAUUAAACAGCUCUGGCUGCCUGUAACCCUGAUUGGAAGUGACUUGAGGUUGGGGAAGGAGGUUGGAACAAAAGGCUGGAUGGUCAUGAUGCAUGAAAACUUUUCCUAAGGACUCAGAAAGACAGAGUCGUUUGGAAAGCAAAGCCCCGGUGACUGAGCAGCAAGGGAUCUUGAAGGUGUUAAGGACGUCACCCUCUACCUAGGAGAGGAUGCCUGUGGCAUUUGAGCAAGGUAAGCUUGGCAAAGUGUGCCAUCUUGGGAAAACCUGAAGACUUAGUUAUCAUCUCUCUUGAUGACCAGAGUGGUGAGGGAUUGGUCUGGAACAAGUUCCUCCCCUCGGUUUCUAAGAGUUCAACAGCUUCUGGUGAAUACUCAGAUCCUACAAGGUCAUAGGAGAGAUUUGAUGAUGGCUCAGUCAUGUACUGUCUGUUCAUAUGCCAUGCAUUUGUCCACGCACGCAUCCAUGCAUCAACCAUCCAUCCAUCCAUCCAUCCAUCCAUCCAUCCAUCCAUCCACACAUCCAUCCACUCACCCACCCAUCCAUCCACUCACCCACCCAUCCAUCCAUUCGCCCACCCAUGCAUCCAUGCAUCCAUGCAUCCAUCCAUUCUACUCUCGGGCAUGGGGUCAGCACCUCAUAAAGUUGCUUGAAAGAGUGAGUUCACAUCCUCUUUUCCACCAAGUGAGGUUACUGACAGGUACCAUCUUAGAGGCAGAGAGCCACCAUCCUCAGCCUCUCAAACUGCUGGCACCUCAAUUUUCUUUCAGCUCCAGGACUGCAGCAGGGCUGUAGAAGUAAAUCUCGAUUCCUUAGGAAGCACCCAACAUGAAGCGCCUUUCUUUUAAAAUGCAGCCAGUGAGGGAGGAUGGAGAUGGUAGUGUGUUCUUUCAGUGUUGUGACAAAAUACCCAUGGGAAGCAAGGGAAGGGAGACAUAUUUCAUUUUGGCUCUGGGCUUUACAGGUUUCAGCUCAUGAUCCUCCUUGGUUUAAGAGAGACUGUUCCAGAAGGAUGUGGUGGAACAGGUGGAGCAUGAGCUCACUUCAGGGCAACCAAUCAGGAAGCAAAGAAAGCAGCUGAGGCAAGGUAGCCCCUAGUUACUCCUUCUUCCAAGUAGGCUCCCCUGCUAAGUCCCCCCUCCCCAUAGCAUCAUUCGCAACAAAUGCAAAGUUCAGAGGCCCCACAAUCCAGUUAUCCUACAAUGUCUGAGAUCCAGGAACCCCAGGUAAUCCAAUCUACCAGCUGAGGGCCAAGCCCUUAACACAAGAGACAAAUAGAACCAUAGUGUAGCCCCUGAAGCUGAGGUGAGUGCGAUUGCAUCAUCCCUCUUUUGGAAGCUGAAUAGAGCCCCUUGAGAAGGAUUUCAGGACCUGGCAGGGUCAGGAAGUGUAGGAUUCCCUUAGUGGGGAGCUAGCGCCUCCACUAAGUCUGGGGCCAGCUUUUCUGAACAGCCCACACCUGAAGAGCAAUGGGCUGUGGGGAGUUGUGCUCCCAGAAUUCACAGCAACCUUGGUGAUGUGCUCCUGAAAGAAGAUCACCACUGCACAGAGUCACACCUCUCCUUCCACAAAAGGUCCAGGCCUGCACUGACCAUUGAACUUCCCCCUCCACCACCACCAAGGCAGAGUUCUUCAGGGAAAGAGUGUGACAAAUGGUGGGUCUCUACUCAGGGUAGGUCAUUGUAUUUACUAUGCAUGGUGAUUGAUGGAGUUUUAUUUUGCAUCCCAACUUAUUCUCAGCAUCUCACAAAGUUUAAGUAGCUGGGUGGAGUAAGGGAUGAUUUCUCUUGCUUGCCAACGAAGGGAAAUAACAUGGGGGACAGUAUGUGAGGCGGAGCCUUGCUCUCAGCACUGAGAUAGAGAUGGGAAAGAUAGCAGCAUUAAUAACUCUUUAAAAAACGUGUCCACAAAGAGCCUCCAAAUCACCCAGCAUUGCCCUCUUGGGACCAGGGGAGGAUGCACUAAGUUCAGAAACAGCUUCUUGGAUCAGAACCUUAUAGACACAAACCACUGAAUAGUUGUCUAUUCAUAAGUCAGCUUUCUCUGAACCCCCUGCUCUCAACACUUACAUACUUCUACAUGAUAGAGAGAAGCCUGAUUUUUUUUUUUUUUUUUUUUUUUUUCCUGGAAACUUUGAGAAGCCAAAGUAGGAACCAGAGCCCACGGGUGCCACCUGCAGGACGCUUGUGGAAUUGACCCGAUAACUGCUUAGAAAUGUGGAAAUAAACAUUUCCUUGCAUCCCACAUUCCUUCCCAGAAUGGCACCAUACACCAGACAUCCUCAAGAGUCUCUAAGGUUGAUUUGGAAUCUUCCUUGGUGUGGAGCCAAAGUGAGAAAUUCAGAAACUCCCCAUCCCAACAGUGCUUAUUGGACUAGGGAUUUUACAGCACAGCCUGAGGUGCUGGAAACUGGAACCUAAGGCAUGCAUCAGCAGACCAGGUGGACAGAAGGACUGAGCAGCGAAGAGUCUGAAAGCCCUGACUGGACCUCCCACCACACACCAGGCAGAGCCUUCAUCUUCCUCCUAAAUUCAGGCCACGUCACUUCUGCCGUGUUGCUUGCCAUUGGCAGCUACUGCUCUGGACUUGACAAGACCCCAGGAGUCUGCGUGUUAAGCUAACCAUACAUCAUGUCUAAAUACAGAGAAAUGGUUGCCCUCUGUAGAAGUGUGGGGAGUGGAAAGACCCACAUCCCCCACGUCUCCUUGCAGCUAACACAGGCAUGACAGUCCUGUUCAGUAAGAAGAUGGAGCGUCCCAGUCUCUUGUGAACUAACGUGUCCCUUUAAAACCCAACAAGAUGUUCUUAUUACCACUUAGGCCUGUUUUUAAGUACAGCAGCCAGAGGACUGCUUUGGGGGAAGUUUGACUCGCCUACUUUCUCGGUCUGCAAUUAGGAGAAGAUGCCAGCAGGGGGCAGUCUCCAUUCCCCUAGCUCUGUGGUUCUCAACCUUCCUAAUGCUGUGUGACCCUUGAAUAUGGUUCCUCGUGUGGUAGUGAUCCCCAACCAUAAAGUUAUUUCAUUGCU